rnacentral:rRNA from 1 species
CGGAUUACAGCCUGCAACCCGGCUGUAUGAAGCUGGAAUCGCUAGUAAUCGCAGAUCAGAAUGCUGCGGUGAAUACGUUCCCGGGUCUUGUACACACCGCCCGUCACACCAUGGGAGCCGGAAAUGCCCGAAGCCAGUGACCCAACCUUAGGGAGGGAGCUGUCGAAGGUGGAGCCGGUAACUGGGGUGAAGUCGUAACAAGGUAGC